GCAUAUCAAUAAGCGGAGGAAAAGAAACUAACAAGGAUUCCCCUAGUAACGGCGAGUGAAGAGGGAAGAGCCCAAGAUUGAAAGCUGGCGUCUUCGGCGUCCGCAUUGUAAUCUCAAGAAGUGUUUUCCGCUUCGGACCAUGCCUAAGUCCCUUGGAAAAGGGCAUCAUAGAGGGUGAGAAUCCCGUACAUGGCAUGGAGCGCCCGAGGCUUUGUGAUACGCUUUCUAAGAGUCGAGUUGUUUGGGAAUGCAGCUCAAAAUGGGUGGUAAAUGCCAUCUAAGGCUAAAUAUUGGGGAGAGACCGAUAGCGAACAAGUACAGUGAUGGAAAGAUGAAAAGAACUUUGAAAAGAGAGUUAAACAGUACGUGAAAUUGCCAAAAGGGAAGGGUAGGAGGUCAGAGAUGCGUCUUGGGAUUCAGCCUUGCAUUUUUUGUUUGGUGUUUUUCCCAAGUUUGCAGGCCAACGUCGGUUUUGGGCACUGGAGAAGGGUGGAAGGAACGUGGCACCUCUCGGGGUGUGUUAUAGCCUUCUACUGGAUACAGCGACCGAGACCGAGGACAGCAGCGUACUCGCAAGAGCGGGCCUUCGGGCACCUUUACGCUUAGGGCGUUGGCAUAAUGGCCCUCUACCACCCGUCUUGAAACACGGACCAAGGAGUCUAACAUGUAUGCGAGUCUUUGGGUGGCAAACCCAUAGGCGCAAUGAAAGUGAAUUCAGGUGGGAUCCGCAAGGUGCACCAUCGACCGAUCCUCACGUCUUUUUAAGUCGUGGAUUUGAGUAAGAGCAUACCUGUUGGGACCCGAAAGAUGGUGAACUAUGCCUGAAUAGGGUGAAGCCAGAGGAAACUCUGGUGGAGGCUCGUAGCGGUUCUGACGUGCAAAUCGAUCGUCAAAUUUGGGUAUAGGGGCGAAAGACUAAUCGAACCAUCUAGUAGCUGGUUCCUGCG
rnacentral:rRNA from 1 species